UACGGAGGGUGCAAGCGUUAUCCGGAUUUACUGGGUUUAAAGGGUGCGCAGGCGGAUAUGUAAGUCAGUGGUGAAAUCUCCGGGCUUAACCCGGAAACUGCCGUUGAUACUAUAUAUCUUGAAUGCUGUGGAGGUAAGCAGAAUAUGUCAUGUAGCGGUGAAAUGCUUAGAUAUGACAUAGAAUACCUAUUGCGAAGGCAGCUUACUACGCAGAUAUUGACGCUCAUGCACGAAAGCGUGGGGAGCAAACAGG
rnacentral:rRNA from 1 species